UACUAUUAAACAAGCAAACAUAUUCAUCGCUAAACGCACUCAGCCUAAUCUACACAUAACAACCCGACCAAUUACAGCCUCACGUUCAAAGUCAUUUAAUUUCAUCUAACCGUUCAGAUUACACUAACCAUCAGCCAAGAGUGCGUUUAUCAAUUUUCCCUGGCGGACGAUUACUCUGCCGAACCGAUGUCCCCCCACACCCGCACAAGUAGGAAAAGAAGGUGGAAUCAUAAAAGGAAACAAACACAUCCUGGCUUCCUGAUGAGGGGCGCGAGGGCCGCGGAAAACGCGAAGACAACCAACCCUCAUCCGGCGCAUCUGAGAGCAGGUCGCCGCCCCGGCCGAUCCACUUCUACCGUACGCGAGAGCAGGCCGCCGUCCUCGCCGCUCCUCCGACGGAGGCAAUUGCAGGACACCGCCCCUGCCGCUGCUCCUCUGCUUCCCCAUGUAGGCCGCUGAUCCUCUUCCCACGGACGCGAGCGCAGGCCGACGCCCCCGCCGGUCCCUUUCUAACGAACUUAAGAGCAGGCCGCUACCCCCGCCGCUCCUCCUCCAACGGAUGCGAGAGCAGGCCGCCGCCCCGCUGCUCCUCCUCUGCUACCCCAGUGUCAACGGAAUAGAGGAACGCAGCGGAAGGAGCAUCAGGAACGCGGUUGCGGCGCCGGCGAAGGUCGGAAAAGAGAUGGGUGGGUUCUCGCCAAGUUUCUGCGGCUCAUGGUGUUCAUCCAACUCCCUAGAACAACUAGAAGAUGAGUUACCACGACUUCUACAUCAAAGGUUGGAUCUUUAGUAGUUUGUUGGUGGGUGUGCCUACUUAUUAAUUUGAUUUGAUAAGUCAACCUGAGGAACUGCAGAUUGGGUGUGAAUGAAGUUGUUAAUAUCAUUUCGUUCGUGUGUGUACUUGUGUACUAAUGAUAGCUGCUGCGUUUGUCUGUGAGAGCUGCUGCGUUGUAUAAGGCCGACGUGCACCAAUGUAAACUUUAGGUGAAGCUUACAACACGGCGAGGGAUAGCCUUGAUUUCUGCAUGAGUAAUGCACCUGUAAUGUUU